rnacentral:rRNA from 1 species
GAUCCUGGCUCAGAGUGAACGCUGGCGGUAGGCCUAACACAUGCAAGUCGAACGGCAGCACAGUAAGAGCUUGCUCUUAUGGGUGGCGAGUGGCGGACGGGUGAGGAAUACAUCGGAAUCUACCUUUUCGUGGGGGAUAACGUAGGGAAACUUACGCUAAUACCGCAUACGACCUGGUGAAGACAGGGACCGUCGGGUCCGUUCGCGCGGACGUAGAUGAGCCGGACUGUCGGAGUUAGGUCGUAGUUGGUCGGGGGUAAACGGGG